GGUACAAAGCUGACUGUGAAACCUGCAAAACAACCGACUCCGCCAAACAUCACUCUUGUCUAUUCUGCAACUGCCGAACAAAAAGCACAGGGUUUUGUGGAAUUGAUUUGUCUCAUGAGCGAAUACCUACCUGAAAACAUCGCAGUGACCUGGCAGAAAAACGGACAAGCCAUACAGUCCGGCUUUACCACUACUUCUUCCACUGAAAGUUCAAGCGAAACGUUUACCUCAGCAAGUGUGCUCAAAGUGCCUGUGAACGAAUGGGCCAGUGGUGCUGUGUACUCGUGCCAAGUAUCCCACUCUGCAACCAGCAGCAACAUCCACAAAGAAAUACGAGCUGAGUCAGAAUUCGCAUUGUUUCUCGGUGAUCCCACCGUUGAAGAAAUGUGGAUAAACAAAACUGCCACACUGGUGUGUGAAGUGAUCGCUACAACUCCAGCUGAGGUUUCCAUCUCUUGGACAGCGGUUGGGAAGGAAAGGGCUGUUGACGUUCAAACAGAACAAGCAGCAAAGAUCGGGAGUCAGUACUUGACAGUCGGCCGUUUGACCAGCAGCGUGGCCGAGUGGGACAGCGGGGUAGAAUACUCCUGCUCGGUGCAGGACAAUCAAUCAGCUGCUCCCCUAUCAAAAAGGGCACGAAACGCAAAAGCCAAAGCACUGGAACCAAGGGUACGUCUCUUUCCCCCCUCUGCAGAGGAGAUUCAAACUGCGGGUAUCGUUACGCUCACAUGUAUGAUAACGGGAUUCUACCCCGAUGACAUAACCGUUUUGUGGCAGAAGGACGGAGCCGCAUUCUACUCGAAAGCUACCAGCUUCCCCACUGCACUUCAACAGGACAUGACCUUCAACACCAGAAGCCUCCUUUACUUGACUUUGGCCGAUUGGAAGAAGGACGCAACAUACUCCUGUGUCGUCACGCACCCACCUUCACAAUCUACUGUGAAAGCAAACUUCAGCACCCGGAAAAGUAAAGUAGAGAAUGCUGACGCAGACGCAGAUUCAGCUUUUGUUUGCAUGGACCCGAAGUCAAAUGAAGACAUCCAACUAAUGGUGUCCGUCCUGAUGAAGCAAGGCUUUGCCGAGCUUAGCCGCCAGGAUGAGAUCGUUAUCCGUUUGCCGAAGCUGAGAGAGCAGGUCCUCGAUGCCGGGGCUACCGGCUGCUACUUCCUUUAA